rnacentral:tRNA from 1 species
UCCGCGCUAGCUCAAUGGUAGAGCAACCGGCUGUUAACCGGUUGGUUCGAGGUUCGAAUCCUCGGCGCGGAGCCA